rnacentral:rRNA from 1 species
GUUGUGAGAGCAAGAGCCCGGAGAUGGAUUCUGAGACAUGAAUUCAGGCCCUACGGGGCGCAGCAGGCGCGAAAACUUUACAAUGCGGGAAACCGUGAUAAGGGGACACCGAGUGUCAGCAUCAUAUGCUGGCUGUCCAGGUGUGUAAAAUACACCUGUUAGCAAGGGCCGGGCAAGACCGGUGCCAGCCGCCGCGGUAACACCGGCGGCCCGAGUGGUGAUCGUGAUUAUUGGGUCUAAAGGGUCCGUAGCCGGUUUGGUCAGUCCUCCGGGAAAUCUGAUAGCUCAACUAUUAGGCUAUCGGGGGAUACUACCAGACUUGGAACCGGGAGAGGUAAGAGGUACUACAGGGGUAGGAGUGAAAUCUUGUAAUCCCUGUGGGACCACCUGUGGCGAAGGCGUCUUACCAGAACGGGUUCGACGGUGAGGGACGAAAGCUGGGGGCACGAACCGGAUUAGAUACCCGGGUAGUCCCAGCCGUAAACGAUGCUCGCUAGGUGUCAGGCAUGGCGCGACCGUGUCUGGUGCCGCAGGGAAGCCGUGAAGCGAGCCACCUGGGAAGUACGGCCGCAAGGCUGAAACUUAAAGGAAUUGGCGGGG